rnacentral:rRNA from 1 species
GACGAACGCUGGCGGCGCGCUUAACACAUGCAAGUCGAACGGAAACGCGCUGGUUUUGUGGGUUGCUCGAGCGGCGAACGGGCGAGUAACACGUGCGUAACCUGCCCCUGACUUUGGGAUAACUACAGGAAACAGGGGCUAAUAACGGAUAGGAGCUCCUGCUGCAGGGAGGGGGUUGGAAAGAUUCGGCGGAUGUGGAUGGAUUCGCGGCUGCUCAGCUUGUGGGUGGAGGAGUGGCUUACCAAGGCUUUGACGGAGAGCCGUCCUUAGAAGGUGACCGGCGACAUUGGUACUGAGGUACGGCCCAGACUCGAACAGGGGACAGCAGUGGGAAAUAUUGCACAGUGGGCGGGAGCGUGAUGCGGCGACGUCGCGUGCGGGAUGCCGGCCAUCGGGUGAGAAACCGCGAUGGCCUGAGACGGAGCGUAAGUGACGUUAGUGAGUGAAGAAGCACCGGCUAACUACGUG